rnacentral:rRNA from 1 species
UGGGGAAUCUUCCGCAAUGGACGAAAGUCUGACGGAGCAACGCCGCGUGUAUGAUGAAGGUCUUCGGAUUGUAAAGUACUGUCAUUGGGGAAGAACGGUUUUCUUGAAAAGAUUGAGAAGACAUGACGGUACCCAAGGAGGAAGCCCCGGCUAACUACGUGCCAGCAGCCGCGGUAAUACGUAGGGGGCAAGCGUUGUCCGGAAUUAUUGGGCGUAAAGGGCGCGUAGGCGGGCCUUUAAGUCCGGUGUGAAAGAUCAGGGCUCAACCCUGAGAGUGCAUCGGAAACUGGAGGCCUUGAGGACAGGAGAGGAAAGUGGAAUUCCACGUGUAGCGGUGAAAUGCGUAGAUAUGUGGAGGAACACCAGUGGCGAAGGCGACUUUCUGGACUGUAACUGACGCUGAGGCGCGAAAGCGUGGGGAGCAAACAGGAUUAGAUACCCUGGUAGUCCACGCCGUAAACGAUGAGUGCUAGGUGUAGAGGGUAUCGACCCCUUCUGUGCCGCAGUUAACACAAUAAGCACUCCGCCUGGGGAGUACGGCCNCAA